rnacentral:rRNA from 1 species
UACGGGGGGAGCAAGCGUUGUUCGGAUUUACUGGGCGUAAAGGGCGCGUAGGCGGCCAGCACAAGUCAGUUGUGAAAUCCCCGGGCUUAACUCGGGGCCUGCAGGCGAAACUGUGGUGCUGGAGUAUGGGAGAGGUGCGUGGAAUUCCCGGUGUAGCGGUGAAAUGCGUAGAUAUCUGCAGGAACACCCGUGGCGAAAGCGGCGCGCUGGACCACUACUGACGCUGAGGAACGAAAGCUAGGGGAGCAAACAGG